GAUGAACGCUGGCGGCGUGCCUAAUACAUGCAAGUCGAGCGAACAGACGAGGAGCUUGCUCCUUUUACGUUAGCGGCGGACGGGUGAGUAACACGUGUAUAACCUACCUAUAAGACUGGGAUAACUUCGGGAAACCGGAGCUAAUACCGGAUAACAUGGUGAACCGCAGGGUUCAACAGUGAUAGACGGUCUUGCUGUCACUUAUAGAUGGAUCCGCGCCGCAUUAGCUAGUUGGUAAGGUAACGGCUUACCAAGGCAACGAUGCGUAGCCGACCUGAGGGGGUGUUCAGCCACACUGGAACUGAGACACGGUCCAGACUCCUACGGGAGGCAGCAGUAGGGAAUCUUCCGCAAUGGGCGAAAGCCUGACGGAGCCACGCCGCGUGAGUGAAGAAGGUCUUCGGAUCGUAAAACUCUGUUAUUAGGGAAGAACAAAUGUGUAAGUAACUCUGCACGUCUUGACGGUACCUACUCAGAAAGCCACGGCUAACUACGUG
rnacentral:rRNA from 1 species